GGCGGCGACGUUGCUUGAAUUACCUAAGAGGGAUUCUACAGAUUCCUUUGCUCGGCCCUUUAAAGAAUCUCUCAGGCGCAUUAUGUUGUGCCUGUAAAAAUAGGUAAUGGAUAAAUUUUCUUCUGAGGCAAAUGUAAUGAAUUUUGUGAGUGUGAACUGUGGACAGACAUAUGUGAGGUUAUGGAUGAUCCUGGUGGCGGUUGGUGAUACGAUGUGCGGUCUGGUGAAUUUAAUGGCUCUUGCGUCUCACUUGUUGGCAAAUGUGAAGAUGGUGGGUUAUGACUUACGUGCAGCUGCGGUGUUUGGCUUUGUGUUUGCUGUAAUAGUGAUAUCAAAGAAGGCAUUGCAGACAGUGAUUGUAAAUUGGCGAAUUGUUCUUGCAUUUGUUUGGCGGUAUUUUGCAUUUGUUGUGUCGAAGCAAGAAUCUCUGUCUGCAUUGCCUGCAUUUGACGUUGCAUUUGCUGCAUUUGUGCAUUUACGUGUUUCUUCAAUUCAAUAAUUUCAUUUGCAGGUUUUGGAACUGAGGCUUGCGAAUUGACUGGUGUCUUUUGAUGCUGUGAAGAAGAAGAAGAAUUAACAUUAUUGAGGUUGGCUGGAGGUGUACUGGUCGAAGCGGCAUUUAAGGGUUCGUUUUGAGGGUUGUGAGACGGCGUUUUUGCUUUCGGCGAAUGGGUAAGCGACAUAUCGUAUAUCUCAGAAUCAAAACGGGCUGGAGGAAUUCCUUGGGUGCUUCGGCCACUGGUUCUUUUCUUCGUCUGAUUGUCGGACAUAAAAACAGCAAAGACGUUACACUUUCGACGAUUUCACAAACAAAUGAAUAAAUAAAGAAUAAAGAUGUUCCUUUGUCACCGAUCCAGAAUAAACUUCACUCACAACCGGCAGAUUCCAAAUAAAAACACAAGGCUUAAAUUCCGUUUGGCAAAUUAAAAGAUUUUAUUUGAUGGUUAAUGAGUGAUCGUUGUUGUUAACAAUGCCGUUGAUGUUGUUAACAUAGGGGUUGUUUAUUCUCUUUGAGCAAAUAUUAAAUAGAAAGAAAAACAGGUUAUAAUAAACAUUUUAAAAUGAAUUUAACACAAUAAAAUUAUAAAAACUUAAACUUUAUACAAAGCA